UACGAAGGGGCUAGCGUUGUUCGGAUUUACUGGGCGUAAAGCGCACGUAGGCGGAUCGUUAAGUCGGGGGUGAAAUCCUGGAGCUCAACUCCAGAACUGCCUUCGAUACUGGCGAUCUUGAGUCCGGAAGAGGUGAGUGGAACUCCUAGUGUAGAGGUGAAAUUCGUAGAUAUUCGGAAGAACACCAGUGGCGAAGGCGACUCACUGGACAUGUAUUGACGCUGAGGUACGAAAGCGUGGGGAGCGAACAGG
rnacentral:rRNA from 1 species